CCCCAGAGCAAGGUUAUAUUUGUACGGCUGAAACUUUUAAACAUAUUAAGAGAAGCUACACGAAUGCUUUCUAAAUCAUGAGAAAUCACUUCGAAGACGUCAAGUGUCUCGCCCAGCUCUGCUCAUAGAAUGUAUCUGUCAGAACGGUUUGAUCACGUCAUCACGCGAUAAUCAGGCUGGAAUCACGUCGAAACUAAAACUAACACAAACGCUGCCUGUUAAGGAAAAUCGAGUUGGAAACGGUGCAAAGGGAAAUCUGUGUACCGUCGACGCUACCGUAUUGUACAGAGUCCCGACUGGGACUUCCGAGUUGAGCGACCGUUCCGUCGUACAGUUCGGAGACGUCGGGAGACGUUGGGGUUUUUUUUUGAGUUCUGAGUACAAUGGAUUGCAGCAUGAUUGGUUGAUUUAUUUGGUGGCAAACGAUAUCGAUUGGAAAAUGUACAGUACGUUCAUUUCAUUUUCAGCAAAACAGCCAUUCAGUGGUUUUACACUAAAAUAAAAUGGUGGUCUAUGACUUAUGCACACUACAGUGUGUGUGUGUGUGUGUGUGUGUGUGUGAAAUAAAUACGCAAGUCAUUUGUAACGUCCAGCUCCGCUUUCAAAUCGUAGGCCGCGCGUUCGAACCGAGUCAGAUGGAUGACGCCGAUAUCUACUGACGGUGACUCCUGAUGUCCUUCAGUCCACUUUUAUAAACGAGCGUGUCAGAAACCACACGAGCAAGUCCGUGGCGUCGGACGCGUCCACGGAAACGAUUGCGGAGACACGAUCGUGUGAUCGUUUAGAUCAGGGGUGUCCGAUCUUAUCCGCAAGAUUGUGGGCCGGCGCGGGUGCAAGAGCCACACCUGAUUCCACCUGUUUAAUCAGUUGAUCGUGGCUUUCAAUAGACUCGGGUGUGGCUUCUGCUCAGUUGGAAUGAAAACCCGCACCCACACCGGCCCUUUCCGGAUAAGAUCAGACACCCCCGGUUUAGAUGCUGCAGAACGCUGAGCCGUAAAGACGUCAUAACUUAAGAAGCAAACCUCAGACACCAAACCUGUGUUGGCUGCUGAAGUACAUUUGGUUCAACGUGGACAUUGUGGUCCUUUUAUUUUUUGACUGAAGUUCUCUUUUUUAAAUAUCCUCCUUUAAAUCCAUCCAGAUGCUGAAGUCAGAGCAGCAUUACUACAGGACUGAGGUGACUCGUUUAUGUAAUAAACCAGAAAAAGCUAAAGUGUGAGUUUAACCCACACGUUUGGUAUGAUUCCUCAUUUGUUUAUAAAUCCCUCCCCCCUCCACAUCAUCAGGAAAUGCUUACUUCUCCGUAUUACCUCGAGCUCACUUUAAACAGUGUUUGUGUUUACGUGAUUUUCCGGAUCGCGUUAAUCGACGACGUCUGCCGUUCAUCGUAUAAUCUGACACGGAGAACUUUAUCGCACGGUGGUAUAAAGUUCGGCCGAGGUUUUAUCGGGGUCGUCUCGUACGUUGUGACAAGUAGGCCUAAUAGUCUUAAGAUAAUGUAAAACUCUAGCUAACAAGUAAUGAAAGUCUCACCAAAGAUCUUUUCCAUAAAUACAUUCCCAAUAUAUUAACCCAGUGCAGAGGUUACAAUUUUUACAUUUUUUUAAAGGUCGCAAAUGUCGGACACCAAGUACGUCUUGUCUGUUUUCACCACAUUUAUUAGUUUUUUUUCCCCCCUAGGUAAUAAAAAAAAAACAUAUCUAGCGUGACCAAUGUUGCCAAAUUGGUAUGAAUGGUCAAACCUGUGCAAAACCACCCAAUCUGGCAACACGAGUGCCAUUCUUAAAUAAUAAUAAUAAUAAUAAUAAUAAUAAUAAUAUUGUUUCAUUUUUUAUUAUUGUCAAAUCAAUGACUGCACCAUGUGUCUCAGUUCUGUUUUAAACACACAGUGUUCACUUCCCCUUAGUUGAGUCCCCAUGUCCAUCAUUUCUUUCUUUAUUUUAUUUCAUUUUAUUUUUAAUUUUAACAGCCUGACUGAAGCUGCUUCUUACCCAGAAGGCAUUGCUGCAGUAUAAAUCGGUGUCUUGGCGGAUCCCGUCGUGGCAGAACCGGCCGUCCCUGAGAGCCUUCAAGCCGGAGCGGGACGACCCUCAGUACACAGGACUAAUUAACGUGUUUCAGGAAUAAUUAACCCAGUUCCGGACUAAUCCAACUCAUUUCAGGGUGCUAACGUCACGAGCAGAAAAAGCAUCAGGAGGGCGCGGUCGUUGUCGCUCGCUCUCCUGAAGGGUGUGUUAUACGCAUGAACAAACCGUAGCCACGGACACGCCGCACGAUUUCAUGAAGAUGUAAACUGUAGCAUCGUAUUAUGUUAUAUUCUCAUCAUAACGAUAUUGUUUUAUCCGUUUCUGUUUAACAUCGUCAUAUUUACAGAUGGAAUAUGUUUUGUUGUUGUUUUUAAACGUGUAUUUGAUGUAUUAAUACCUAAUCCACGUUUACACGUCGUCAUCAUCCUGAACACUACUCCAACAGGAUGUACUUUUAAUAAAUGUAUGUGCCUAUGAUUUUAUUUGUAUUUCGCAGAAUUGCUGGAAGACCAAAAAAAAAAAGAAAAGAGAAAAAAGAAACUAUUGGAAAAUAGGAUUAAAUAUAUGCAAAGCACUUCUCUUGUCUGGACUGAGUUUUUAUUUCUUUUUUCUUUUUGAUUAUUUUUCUCUUCAAUGUUUUCUCUGCUACAGCACUAAUUUAGGAUUGCCGAUCAUGCUCGCUGGUGGGUGUGUUUACCGAAGUGCAUCAUCACAACCCUUUCUUGGUGUUGAUUCAUUUUCCUUUAACAGCGGAACAGAGUUUUAUUACUUACAUAACAUGAACAUGUAAUAUAAAUAAAUAAAUAAAUACUUUUGCCCUUGAACCACAAGGAGGCCGAAAACGACGUAGCGAUGCGUGGACCGAAUUCGCAUUUUUCUCAUUCUGACACGGUAAACAAUCUAGUGCCAUUUCUGUCUCUCAACUGAUCUUGUAUUUCUGCUUUUUUUUU
ensembl:lncRNA